rnacentral:lncRNA from 10 species
AUACUCACUAGGAUAAGUAUUACCCUCCCUUUUGAAAAAAUUAUAGUACUUAUCAAUAUCAUUAAUAUCAAAAUUGCAAUUUGAUUGAUUGAUUGAUAAAAUAGAUAGAUUGAGUAAAGUUCCUUGAUUCUUGAACAUUCCGGAAUUUCAGACUUGGAAUAGAUACAAAAGAGAAAGACUGGACUCCUUAUUAGUAUGGGCAGGUUAGAUCUUGAGAGAAAAGUUAUAAAAUGUGACUAUGUUUACCUCGGGUUAACAAAAUGAAUCAUCCCAGCUAUAUACUACCUAGGAAUGGAAUUGCUGGGUCAUAUGACAACUUUAUGUUUGGCUUUUUGAGAAACUGACAAACUGUUUUCCAAUGUGGUUGCACCAUUUCACACUCCCGCUAGCAAUGUAAGAAUGUUCCAAUGUUUCCAUGUCCUCACCAACACUUGUCAUGCUCUUUUAUAUUACAGUCAUUCUAGUGAGUGUGAAAUACAGACACUUCUCAACUUGCAAUGGGGUUACCUCACCACAAAUCCAUCAUAAGAAGAAAAUAUUGUUAAAUGCAUUUAAUGCUGGCAGCACACAUAGUCCCCAAC